rnacentral:lncRNA from 1 species
UUGAGUCAGUUUAUGUUAUUUAAAGCCUAUGUGAUGUGUUUUCUUAUAAUGUACUGUUAGCUGAUGUUGUUUUUUCACUCCUCAGUUGCUAGCUUGCAGAGAAGAAGAACGAGAUGACAAGACAACGAUAAAAUGUGAAACUUCCCCUCUCUCCUCUCCGAAGUCCCUUCAGCUAGACAGGCUGCACACAGGGGCGUUGCAAAUAGUCAGCCACGAGGACAUCAGGGACAUGCAAAAAUCAAAAAGUGCCCAGGAUGGUCGUGUGAGCAAUCCCAAUAGCAGUGACAGCAGGCAGGACUCACCCCACAAAGCCCCAAAGAAGAAGGGCAUCAAGUCCUCCAUUGGUCGUUUGUUUGGCAAAAAGGAAAAGGGUCGGCCUGGACAAACUGGCAAAGAAUCACCAGGACAAGAAACCUCAUCUCAGGAUGCGUUCCGACAUAGCAAAUUGGGAGGAAAGGAUGAAAAAAAUCGUCAACUUCAAAAACACUCAACAGGCUCCCAGGAAGGUCCUGUGAACAAUCCCAGUACCAGUGACAGCAGGCAGGAUGCGCUCCACAAAGCCCCAAAGAAGAAGAGCAUCAAGUCCUCCACUGGUCGUUUGUUUGGCAAAAAGAAAAAGGUUCUGCCUGGACAAACUGGCAAAGAAUCACCAAGACAAGGUGGGCCGGUUUUAGGCAGCUGUCCUAACUGCUGGGAUUGGGAGAGCCUGAGAUUUUUCCUAUGUGCCUGCUGCCGGUGUCCAGUGCCCACGAGGAGUCAUGGCUGA